ensembl:lncRNA
CUCAGUUACCUCCUGUCGAGCGUGUCCUUUUCUUCCUCAGAGAGGGGAGCUGGAUCUCAGGUAGAGUUGCAGGGGGGCUAAUGAUGGAGCAGAGCUACUGGACCAGGGCCUCUCCCGCAUUGCGAUCCUCCUUGUGUUUUGGUGAUGACUGCCGUGGUGCUGACAAGGGUCAUGCUUCUGUGACUGGUCAUUCGUCCAGAUCACUAGGAUUCCUUUUGGUCUCUUGAUGGUGACAUUAGCAUGGGUUUCGAGGUCCUGGUGAACAAUAUGAGAUGAAAUCGAGCACGGUGGGACCGUUGCAACCCAGAGAUGUGUGACAGAGGAGACAUGGGAGGCUGCUGCAAAGCUAACAUGGCUUACUGUUUUACGGGGAGCUUUUUUUUCCCCCCAAUGUAGAAAAAAAACACCCUGCAAAAACAACAAUAAAAAG